GACGAACGCUGGCGGCGUGCCUAAUACAUGCAAGUCGAGCGGACAGAAGGGAGCUUGCUCCCGGAAGUUAGCGGCGGACGGGUGAGUAACACGUGGGCAACCUACCCUGUAGAUCGGGAUAACAUCGAGAAAUCGGUGCUAAUACCGGAUAAUCAUUUUAAGUGCAUGCUUCGAAUGUAAAAGAUGGCUCCGGCUAUCACUACGGGAUGGGCCCGCGGCGCAUUAGCUGGUUGGUAAGGUAAUGGCUUACCAAGGCAACGAUGCGUAGCCGACCUAAGAGGGUGAUCGGCCACACUGGGACUGAGACACGGCCCAGACUCCUACGGGAGGCAGCAGUAGGGAAUCUUCCGCAAUGGACGAAAGUCUGACGGAGCAACGCCGCGUGAGUGAUGAAGGUUUUCGGAUCGUAAAGCUCUGUUGUUAGGGAAGAACAAGUGCCGUUUGAAUAAGGCGGCACCUUGACGGUACCUAACCAGAAAGCCACGGCUAACUACGUGCCAGCCGCCGCAGUAACAC
rnacentral:rRNA from 1 species